UACGAAGGGGGCUAGCGUUGCUCGGAAUCACUGGGCGUAAAGCGCACGUAGGCGGCUUGUUAAGUCAGGGGUGAAAUCCUGGAGCUCAACUCCAGAACUGCCUUUGAUACUGGCGAGCUUGAGUUCGGGAGAGGUGAGUGGAACUGCGAGUGUAGAGGUGAAAUUCGUAGAUAUUAGCUAGAACACCAGUGGCGAAGGCGGCCAACUGGUCCGAUACUGACGCUGAGGUGCGAAAGCGUGGGGAGCAAACAGG
rnacentral:rRNA from 1 species